GGGUCGUUAGCUCAGUCGGUAGAGCAGUUGACUUUUAAUCAAUUGGUCGCAGGUUCGAACCCUGCACGACCCACCA
rnacentral:tRNA from 2 species